rnacentral:rRNA from 1 species
AACGAACGCUGGCGGCAGGCCUAACACAUGCAAGUCGAACGCUCUCUUCGGAGGGAGUGGCGCACGGGUGAGUAACGCGUGGGAACCUACCCUGGGGUACGGAAUAACAGCGGGAAACUGCUGCUAAUACCGUAUACGCCUUUAGGGGGAAAGAUUUAUCGCCCUGGGAUGGGCCCGCGUCCGAUUAGUUAGUUGGUGGGGUAACGGCCUACCAAGGCUUCGAUCGGUAGCUGGUCUGAGAGGAUGAUCAGCCACACUGGGACUGAGACACGGCCCAGACUCCUACGGGAGGCAGCAGUGGGGAAUCUUGGACAAUGGGGGCAACCCUGAUCCAGCCAUGCCGCGUGAGUGA